AAUUUGUUUAUAAUAAAAAUCGUUAUCACUCCAGUAUUCAGAUGGCACCAUAUGAGGCUUUGUAUGGCAGGAAAAGCAGAUCUCCGAUUGGUUGGUUUGACGUGAGUGAGAUUCAGUUAAUUGGUCCAGAUGUGAUCCAGCAAGCAGUCGAUAAAGUGAAACUGAUUCGAGAGCGACUAUUAGCGGCCCCGAGUCGACAGAAAUCUUAUGCUGAUAAACGACGUCGACCGUUAGAGUUCCAGAUUAGCAAUUGGGUAUUUCUGAAAGAGUCACCUAUGAAAGGCGUUAUGAGAUUUGGCAAGAAAGGAAAGCUCAGUCCGAGAUAUAUUGGGCCUUAUCAGAUUGUUCGCAAAAUAGGCAAGGUGGCCUAUGAAUUGGAUUUGCCAGCUGAUUUGGGAGCGGUACACCCGGUAUCCCAUGUUCCUAUGCUUCGUAAAUAUAUUGGUGACCCUUCCAGAAUUUUUCCUACAAACGAUAUACAGGUCACCGAGGAGCUAUUUUAUGAAGAGCAACCUAUAGCCAUAUUGGAUCGUCAGGUAAGAAAGUUGCGGAAUAAAGAUGUGGCUUCUGUUAAAGUACUGUGGCGGAAUAAUAAUAACCGCGAGGAAUUAACCUGGAAGGCUGAGGAGCAGAUGAUGAAAAAAAAAAUCCUCACCUAUUUUCGGCACCUUCAGGUAAUCCAAAUUCUUUGUUUGAUUAUGUUGAUUUGUGAUCGAUUUGUAUAUGAUGGCUAUAAAAGAAACUCCCCCGAAUUUGAGUAAGAUUAGUAGCAUUAAUCCAACAUUCGAGGACAAAUGUUCCUAAGGGGGGGAGGAUGUUACGUACCGUAUUUUUAUACAUUGGGACAACCCGGAUUAACUAUGACAAUUAAGGGCCAAGACUAUUCCGGGAUUUGACGUCGGGACUUUUGACCAUUUGAUUUUAUUUUGAGACAUAAGUUGAAUAUGAAAUUGAUGGCAUUGGACACUUAGGAAAAAUUGGGACCACAAUUCAUAAAAUUGGAAUUUAAAAGUCUUGCACCAAAAGCCAUGGUGGCCGUGUGGACUUGAAAUGGUCCCACACAUUGUGUGGCCAAUUUUAAUUGGUCCAACACAUGUGUGGGCCAUAAACAAAGGGAGAUAUUUGUGGAUACAAAAAAAAAAAAAAAAGACUAAGUCAUCUUUCUCAUUUCCCACUUCUACACUUAGAGAAAAAUAACAAGACUUGGAGAGCCUCCACUCCCCCAUGGUUCUCGGCCACAACCAAGAAAAAUCAAGUCCCAUUUUUGCCUCUCUAAAAUUAUUUCUUUGGUAUAAACCCACUAUUUGGAGGUCCCUAAGUAGCGUGGAAGUAUUGUUUGGGUCAUUCAACCACUCAUUUUUCCCAUUUACAAACCCUAGCCUAUUGGUGGAUUGAAGAAUAAAGGUGAGUUCUAAUCUUGUUUUUGGAGUUAUAAAUGUUGUAUGCAUAUUGUAGUAUGCUAAAAUGGAUAAAAAUCAUGAAAUAUGGAAUGUUGAAGUUGGGUCUUGUGUUGGGUGUGUUGACCGUGUGAAGUAUAUGUGUGUGGUGUGGUAUUGGGUUGACGAAUUAAUUGCUUGUAGCAUAUUGAUUGUCGUAGAGUGGAGAAGAGAAUAAAAAUCAUCGAUACAUGUAUAUGUGUAGUGUAGCCGUGUAUAUAGCCUCCAAAUGGUAGCAAAGAAUGAAUUAAUAUCGCUUAGCGUCGUAAUGGUUGUUGUGAUGAUUUGUAUGUUGGAAAUGAGAGUUAAAUGUCCCGAAUUGAUAUAGUAAGCGUUGCGGACUGAUUUGGAGAACUUUGUGCAUUUAAUGCAAUCCUUAUAUAUGAGAACCAUUAACAUAUGAAUAUGUGUAGUGUGAAUGAAUGUGAGUCAUAGAUUAUGCCGAAUAUCGCAUUAUUAUCGCUUAAGCGCUUUCGUGUCGUCGUUACGAAUUUUAGUUUGGAAUUGAGCAUUUAAUGACUUAAGAUUGAUGUUGAGAUUGUACGGGCUGAUUUGAGGGUUAUUGUGCGUUGAUGUAAUUUGUAUAUUUUAUGAAAAUGGUAUCGUUAUAUUGUGAAUUGUGAUACAAAACAUGAAUUGAAAGUCGGAAGUGUGCCCAGUGGGCUGCUCACGGGUAGGGGCUGUUUUCGGCCAAAAAUUUGGAGAAAUUGUGGAUUGUUGGAAAAAUUAUGUGAAUUUUUUAGAAUGUUCUUGAAUGUUGUUAGUAUGGGUUUGGGUUAAUAAUCGAAUGUACGAACGAUAUUGUGGCUUGAAAGUAAGCCAUUGAAUUGAAUAAUUGGAAAGUUGUCGAAUGGUGUAAAAGAGAGCUACUAUUAUUAUUUUGCCUUUCGAAUUGAUUAUCGAUGUUGCUAGGUUGGUUAUUGUGGUUGUUGUUGUUGAUUUUGAGCGAGUUAAAUUCUCGGGAUGGCCUAUUUAUAGGGGAAAUGCUGCCGAAUUUUCUGUAGAAUUUAAUGUUAGUUGGAAUAAAUGGCUUAAGUGCCUAUGUUUAAUAUUGGAUAUUCGUUGGCAUAUUUGUAGACCUUGGGGAGCCCGAGGCGUAGAUUGGAAUUUACUUUAUAUUGGCCAUCUUGGAGUGCGUACGAGGUACAGACGCACAGUUUGGUGAUCUACCCAUUUAGGACACCCUAUUCUGCUGUUUGGAGUGCUCUUCUCAUUUCAGAGCACACAUUUUGGUAUAUAUUCGUUCGCCAUGUAUAUAUGUAUUUGUUCAGGGGCACGGCGGGGCCCUGUCCCGCCAUAUGAUUCGGUUUGUCUGUUUAGAGGUCUGUAGACGUAUUUGUGGGUGUGUGUGCCUACUUCUGUACGGAUGUGUUUGCAUGACUCUAUUCGUUAUGGCAGCCUCGUCGGCGUGCAUUUUGUAUAUGUUUGUGGCAGCCUUGUCGGCGUGCAUUUGUAUAUGCGUUUUGGGCCGUUGUGCCAUUUGACAGCCUUGUCGGCUUUUGACAUAUUUGAUAGCCUUGCCGGCUUUUUGAUAUAUGUGCAUAUGUUCGGCGAUGUAUAUUCCGCCGCCUCUUCUGAUUCUGAUAUAA